CAUCUGAAUGCAUCGAACUUUAUUCGAUGGGAAUCUAUGGUGAUUUCUGCCAGCUCGAUAUACGCGAUUCCUUCUUCAUCGACGAAUAUAUAUAUAUUCAUCUUUGGUCAAUUUUCGGACGAUGGCGGUGCAAUAUCUAUAAGAAGCAUUGGAAUGUGUCACCGUUCGGUUUCUAACUACGCUCUUUGAUCAUUGAGAUCUGUUUCGGUGAGACAGGUUUGGGAAAACGUUGUUGUUGAAGAGUAUUAACACUGAGAGACCGGGGGGAAAAAAUAUAUAAUACACGACGAAAUGGACAAUUACGCGAGCCGAUGUCGUAUUCGAUGCGAUGUCCAGGUGUAAAAGUGCCUGCUUCGAGACGUUAGCGCGAGAGGGCAGCCAGAAUUAAGCCUCUCUCGGAUCGUGUCCCAUGUUGAUAUCGUACGACGUGGAUUCGCGAGCGCGGGCAAAAUGACGACCACCCACGGAGGCCACGUGUAUUACGUGAUCAAGGUGCCUAAAGAACGGAUGGCAA